GUGUAGCUUGUAAUGCUCUGUACUGUGAUGUCCUCUGUCUACCUGCUUUCCCCUGACAGUUCUUGGUUUUCCAGUUGGAUUAUUUGUUUGUUGGGAUCGUUUAUUUACUUUGAAUACCCUGGACUCAGCCACUCUGUUUAUCCAGCCACUCCCUCCUGCCCUUCUAUUACCUCGUUCCACCAGUCACCUCAACUGCAUCCCAUUUCCCUCAUUAGUUCCCGUGUGUGUGUGUGUGUACAUACACAUGUAUGUAUGUGUCUCUGGAACUGUUGAGUCUGUGGUUGCAAGUCACCUGCUGCUGCUGCCAUGACCCUGCUCAACACCCUUUGCUACAGUUAUUACUAGUCCUGUUUUUAUUACUACUAUGAUUAUCAUUAUUUCUUUUUCAGUCUGUACCACUACUACCUUUACUGUCUGUAUUUCUGGGUGGAUAUUGUGUUUGCUGCAAUCAUAAGCCAUUUUUGACAAAAACAAAGCGGUUAGGUAAAAGAAUGGGACAGAGAGUCCACUGCAGUAUAUGGAGGUCCCAUAUUUGAUUGGUAGACGUCACUCAAGGACAAGGAAGUUCCCUCUUGGCAAUUUCUUUUAACACAUUUAAUAAAGCACAUUUGCAGUAAUAUUAUGUAAAAAGAC